rnacentral:rRNA from 1 species
CACACUCCUGGAAGUAUAAAAACGUAACAAGGUCUCCGUUGGUGAACCAGCGGAGGGAUCAUUACAGAGUACUUUACACUCAUAAACCCCUGUGAACUUACCAUUUUUUGUUGCUUCGGCGGGCUGUGCCUGACCCUCCCUUGCGGGGGAUACGGUACGCUAAAGGUCCGCCGAGGGUACCUAAACUCUUUAUCAUUUUUAAUGAAUUCUGAAUCAAAAACAAAUAAAUCAAAACUUUUAACAACGGAUCUCUUGGUUCUGGCAUCGAUGAAGAACGCAGCGAAAUGCGAUAAGUAAUGUGAAUUGCAGAAUUCAGUGAAUCAUCGAAUCUUUGAACGCACAUUGCGCCUAUUAGUAUUCUAAUAGGCAUGCCUGUUCGAGCGUCAUUUCACCCCUCAAGCUUCAUUGCUUGGUGUUGGGACGUUACCGCGCAAGCGGUAAGUCCUCAAAUCUAGUGGCAAGAUCAGGGCAUCUCUGAGCGUAGUAAAUCUUUUAUCUCGCUUUGGUCAGGUGUCCUGGUGGUAGCCAUAAACCUAUUUUAUUUUGAAUAGUUGACCUCGGAUCAGGUAGAAUGCCCCC